GCAUUUUGUGAAGCAUAUUUUAUUUCGUGUGAUUUCAUGCUGGUGUCAAAUUAUAACUACUUAUUUAUUUUGCAGGAACCUUUGCAGAGAAAAAAUUUAAGAACUUGCGAGACAUUUUUAAGAGAAAACAACAGGGGGUUCGCGAUAAGCAGCGCAGUGGUGCAGGGGCAGUUGAUGUCCCCACCAUCAGAUGGCCCCAUUUCGAGGCCAUGCUAGAGCUAACCGAGGUGGCGUCGGAACCUGUGAUCCGAGCAGAAGCUACAGAUGGCGUCCAACCAGGGGUUUCCUCGGACACCAUGGCAGCGGACAUCGAGACCUGCAGUUCUGCAGAUUACAGAGAAGACAUCCAAGAGGAGCCAGCACCGACACCACCAGCACUGAU